rnacentral:rRNA from 1 species
ACGGUCCUAAGGUAGCGAAAUUCCUUGUCGGGUAAGUUCCGACCUGCACGAAUGGCAUAAUGAUGGCCACACUGUCUCCUCCCGAGACUCAGUGAAGUUGAAGUGUUUGUGAUGAUGCAAUCUCCCCGCGGCUAGACGGAAAGACCCCAUGAACCUUUACUGUAGCUUUACAUUGGACUGUGAACCGAUUUGUGUAGGAUAGGUGGGAGGCAGUGAAACUCAGACGCCAGUUUGAGCGGAGCCAUCCUUGAAAUACCACCCUGAUUUGUUUGCGGUUCUAACCUCGGCCCAUGAUCUGGGCUAGGGACCGUGUAUGGUAGGCAGUUUGACUGGGGCGGUCUCCUCCUAAAGGGUAACGGAGGAGUGCGAAGGUACGCUAGGUACGGUCGGAAAUCGUGCUGAUAGUGCAAUGGCAUAAGCGUGCUUGACUGCGAGACCAACAAGUCGAGCAGAUGCGAAAGCAGGUCAUAGUGAUCCGGUGGCUCUGUAUGGAAGGGCCAUCGCUCAACGGAUAAAAGGUACUCUGGGGAUAACAGGCUGAUACCGCCCAAGAGUUCAUAUCGACGGCGGUGUUUGGCACCUCGAUGUCGGCUCAUCUCAUCCUGGGGCUGUAGUCGGUCCCAAGGGUAUGGCUGUUCGCCAUUUAAAGAGGUACGUGAGCUGGGUUUAAAACGUCGUGAGACAGUUUGGUCCCUAUCUGCCGUGGGCGCUGGAAGAUUGACGGGGGCUGCUCCUAGUACGAGAGGACCGGAGUGGACGGACCGCUGGUGUACCGGUUGUGAUGCCAAUCGCAUUGCCGGGUAGCUAUGUCCGGAAGGGAUAACCGCUGAAAGCAUCUAAGCGGGAAACCUGCCUGAAGAUAAGUCUUCCCGGAGGCUAGACCUCCUUGAAGAGUCGUUCGAGACCAGGACGUUGAUAGGUCAGGUGUGGAAGCGUUGUGAGACGUUAAGCUAACUGAUACUAAUUGCUCGUAAGGCUUGAUCCU